CGGCGGACGGGUGAGUAACGCGUGGGUAACCUGCCUUACACUGGGGGAUAACAGUUAGAAAUGACUGCUAAUACCGCAUAAGCGCACAGGGCCGCAUGGUCUGGUGUGAAAAACUCCGGUGGUGUAAGAUGGACCCGCGUUGGAUUAGCUAGUUGGUGAGGUAACGGCCCACCAAAGCGACGAUCCAUAGCCGACCUGAGAGGGUGACCGGCCACAUUGGGACUGAGACACGGCCCAA
rnacentral:rRNA from 1 species